GGGGUGUGUGGACAUCCAAGGGAGAAGAGAAGGGGAGAGGAAGAGAGGGUGUGGGACACUCUAAAGGGGCAUGGGGCUGUUGGUUUGAUUGCCUAGGGACCUUAGGAGAGGUCUCUUUAAAUAGACAUAAGGUUCGAAUCCUAUUCAAAAUCAAAUAAGCUCUUAAUACAAGUCUUACUUAUAUUAGGUUUCGUAAUAACUUAAGUUAUUCAACUUCCUUUAGAAAACCUAUUAGGUG
rnacentral:lncRNA from 1 species